CAUCACCAGUUGGGGAAACCCCCCAGGGGCAGUGUUGUGCUGGCUGUAGCCAUGUACAAACGUCAAAUAACGGCUCAUUCCAUCACCUAUAUUUAGCAAACUACUGUAGCACAAUAGCCGCCAGUGCAAUGUCUCGAGUGGGAUUAUUGUUUUUAUCUAAUACAUUUGCAAACAUUUCUAAAAACCUGUUUUAAACUUUGACAUAUGGCUGCUACUAAAGGGGUAGAUAGUUCAAUAGUAAUAUCCUCUAAAACGCUCCGGUGACAAACAAACUCUGCUGCCCUGUUUCCAAUCGUCCACAUGGCUGGGAGAACCUAUUCAAGUAAAUACCUUGUAACUGGAGAUUCCUUCAAAACGAUUGCCUACAGUUAAUGUGUAGGGCACAGCAAGGUUGGGUGACUAGGGCCAUCUGGGACUGCCUGCUGGAGGAAUUCAGGUGUGUGAAGGAGCAAUUCAGGUGUGUGAAGGCUACCUGUGUCCUGCAUAACUUCAUGAGGAUAUACACAAGGACCAGGAGGGGAUCUGCAGCUCCCCGCCGUGUGCCAGAGGAAAAGUCUGCUGCUCUGCAGGAUGUUUUAAGGAUGGGGUCCAACAAUACAGCAAGAGAGGCAAUCUGUGUGCGGGAGAUCUUCACCUCCUACUUCUUUCGAAGAGGGUGCUGUUCCCUGGCAACACCAUAGACUACACUAUGCACAACCAAAGGCUCUUUUAAGAGCCAUUCACAUUGCAAUAAGAGUAUUCUUCCAUUUACUUAGCUAUGUCAACUGCAGUUAUUCAAUUCCCAGUUUCUCUCCCUUUGAUUUCUACUUCUCAGGUGAGGAUGCUGUUUAGGUAAGGGUGUGAUGUUUGUACAAAAACAAAACAGGCUAUUUUAAAUCACCCAUAUUGAAAAAAUGUAGAACAAUUAGACACCCUAUAACCCACACCUACACACUCAUGUAUCAAUCUGAUUGAUGGAUUAUGUUGUGCAGUAAGAAGGCUCAGGUGUAUAACUGUGGCUCCUUCCACCUUCAAAGAAUAGGCAAGAGUGCCAACUAUGGAGAAUAAUAAGACACUUAAUUAUUUCUAUAACUACGCUAUAUUGUUUGUUCUUGUGUUUCCGUUCAUGUGUUUCAGCAUAAAGUACUCUCCAGCCACUUAGUGUGGUGUGGACACCAGGUUAUAUCAGCUGUGUCGGUGAACACCUCCCGCAUCUGAACUGGCUACAUAGAGGGCACUUGGUCAGGUCAACAAGAAGUAUUAUUAAAGAGAUGUUUUACAUUGAGAUACAGAUAGAGAUGUAGUUGUCCCAGAGUUAAUGAUCCAAGAUAUGUUUUGAUGUGAGAGAGGAUGCCAACUCCCAGUCCCAUCAUCACCACCUCAUCCGCUCUUAAGAUAACCUUCGGGCCGACUAGAGACACUUAUGCAAUUGUGAUGAACUGAGAGAAUAUUUGGGUAGCAAUGAUUCAUUAAUCUUACCUCUUUCCCUUUGUCUUUUACACCUCUCACCACCUCUUUCUUCCUCUGUUUUAUAAUGUACAACAGAUGUACAUUGAAGUACAGAUUGAACUUGCAUUUAUAAUAUUACAAAUAUAUUUAUGCAUGUAUUUAUAACACUUGGAUAAUUAACUUCUUUCAAUAUAGUGUCACAUUCUCUACUGGUUGAAAUUAAAUCUCUCAUUUGAUGAAAUACUACACCUAUCCUGUGUUCAUCAGAUCAAUGCAGAUGAAGGGCAUUAGAUAUCGAGAUGAACCGGUUUUAGAGUAUUUACAUGAUGCCUAGGAAGUGUAGUGUACUGUUUCUUAAAUUAUAUUUCUGUAUGAAUUAUAUAUGAAUUACAAAUCAGCAUUUAACUAGUUAAAUCCUGUUUCUAGUCUAUUAGUUACAAUGUGUAACCAUUGAUGCCACAGGACCAAGAUUGGUAAACACUGUAGAAGUGUAUAAUUGUAAUACAUACAUGCAGACACAGUGUCAUUCAAAGACUGGAAUUUGAUACUCCUGGUAUUGGAUAUGACUG